GACGAACGCUGGCGGCGUGCUUAACACAUGCGAGUCGAACGGAAAGGCCCUGCUUUUGUGGGGUGCUCGAGUGGCGAACGGGUGAGUAACACGUGAGUAACCUGCCCUUGACUUUGGGAUAACUUCAGGAAACUGGGGCUAAUACCGGAUAGGAGCUCCUGCUGCAUGGUGGGGGUUGGAAAGUUUCGGCGGUUGGGGAUGGACUCGCGGCUUAUCAGCUUGUUGGUGGGGUAGUGGCUUACCAAGGCUUUGACGGGUAGCCGGCCUGAGAGGGUGACCGGCCACAUUGGGACUGAGAUACGGCCCAGACUCCUAUGGGAGGCAGCAGUGGGGAAUAUUGCACAAUGGGCGGAAGCCUGAUGCAGCAACGCCGCGUGCGGGAUGACGGCCUUAGGGUUGUAAACCGCUUUCGCCUGUGACGAAGCGUGAGUGACGGUAAUGGGUAAAGAAGCACCGGCUAACAACGUG
rnacentral:rRNA from 1 species